UCUUUGCUAGUAUAUCGGUUAGUACACGCGCCUGUCAUGAGACAACCUUCGUCGCGCGAAAGCUGGGUUCGACUCCCAGGCAAAGAG